rnacentral:lncRNA from 1 species
CUGGAAGUCCUCUAGUUCAAUUUUCUCUGUUUUAGGAAUCCCUUCUCUAGCGUCUCUCUCUUGGCAUCUGAAUACCUCCAUGGUUGGGAUGCUCACCACCUCAAGGUGAAGUCAGUAUUACUCACUCUUCACAAGCUCCAAAUGUUACACAGUCCUUUCUGGAUUAGUCUGCAAUCUGCCUGCCUCCAACCACAUUGACAAAUUGAUGGCCGUCUCACCAUCUUGGCAACAUGGAGCACCCCACAUCCUUUUCCGCAAGAUGGAGAAAGACUCAACUCAUGGACCCAGACUUGGCUGCCUUUGGAAGAGCGCCAUGCUUGUAUUUCACAUUGCAGAGAGAAACAUGGGUGGAAAAUGGAUGUGUGAAGAGAGAAGCAAAUAGCCCAGAGUGUUGCUCAUCAAGGUCAACUCCGCCAAUCCCAGGCGCUUGACUACAGUGCUUAACUACGUACCAGUUGUGUGGCUUCUGACAAGUACCCCAUUUUUCUCAUGAUAGUAUGGGAGUAAUUAUUGUCCCUAUCCCAUAGAGCUGUUGAAGGAUUCAAUGAAUUAAUACAUAUAAAAAAUUCAACACCAUGUGUUUAUGUAAUAAGGACUCAAUAAUAUUGGCCAUCGUUACUAUUAUUAUUGUUGCUGUGAUGUUGAGUGGCUCUAGUAAACUGCAAAUGGAAGCUGCUGGUCUCCCCGAAGGAGAGGGGAAUAUUAAAUGAGAAGGUGACUCAUGAUGCCAUGAACUACUGCUUUAGAAAUUACUGACCAGCUGUGGCAGAAAACAUAUUGCUCAACCUCCUUUUUUGCCUUAAUCUCCUAGUUGAUAAAACAAGUUUAAAGUACUGUACCUCUGCCCAUCUCCUUGGUUUUCCACAAAAAUAAAAUACAUUUCGCA